GAAUGCUGACAUAAGUAACGAUAAAGCGGGUGAAAAGCCCGCUCGCCGGAAGACCAAGGGUUCCUGUCCAACGUUAAUCGGGGCAGGGUGAGUCGACCCCUAAGGCGAGGCCGAAAGGCGUAGUCGAUGGGAAACGGGUUAAUAUUCCCGUACUUGGUGUUACUGCGAAGGGGGGACGGAGAAGGCUAUGUUGGCCGGGCGACGGUUGUCCCGGUUUAAGCGUGUAGGUGUGUGUUCCAGGUAAAUCCGGUUCACUUUAACACUGAGGCGUGACGACGAGGCACUACGGUGCUGAAGCAACAAAUGCCCUGCUUCCAGGAAAAGCCUCUAAGCAUCAGGUAACACGAAAUCGUACCCCAAACCGACACAGGUGGUCAGGUAGAGAAUACCAAGGCGCUUGAGAGAACUCGGGUGAAGGAACUAGGCAAAAUGGUGCCGUAACUUCGGGAGAAGGCACGCUGACACGUAGGUGAAGUGAUUUACUCAUGGAGCUGAAGUCAGUCGAAGAUACCAGCUGGCUGCAACUGUUUAUUAAAAACACAGCACUGUGCAAACACGAAAGUGGACGUAUACGGUGUGACGCCUGCCCGGUGCCGGAAGGUUAAUUGAUGGGGUCAGCG
rnacentral:rRNA from 4 species